UACGGAGGGUGCAAGCGUUAUCCGGAUUCACUGGGUUUAAAGGGUGCGUAGGCGGCUUUAUAAGUCAUUGGUGAAAGCUCGCAGCUUAACUGUGAAACUGCCAUUGAAACUGUUUAGCUUGAAUGUGGUUGAAGUGGGCGGAAUACAACAUGUAGCGGUGAAAUGCUUAGAUAUGUUGUAGAACACCGAUUGCGAAGGCAGCUCACUAAGCCAAUAUUGGCGCUGAGGCACGAAAGCGUGGGUAGCAAACAGG
rnacentral:rRNA from 1 species